UACGGAGGGUGCAAGCGUUGUCCGGAUUUAUUGGGUUUAAAGGGUGCGUAGGCGGCUAUUUAAGUCAGUGGUGAAAUCCUGCAGCUUAACUGUAGAACAGCCAUUGAUACUGGAUAGCUUGAGUACGGACGAGGUAGGCGGAAUUUAUGGUGUAGCGGUGAAAUGCAUAGAUACCAUAAAGAACCCCUAUUGCGAAGGCAGCUUACUAGGCUGUAACUGACGCUGAGGCACGAAAGCGUGGGGAUCAAACAGG
rnacentral:rRNA from 1 species